ensembl:snoRNA
AUCCUUUUGUAGUUCAUAAGCAUGAUGAUUGCGUGUUCACGCCAUUGUGUGACAUGUGCCUCCCUUAAACCUUGUUACGUGACCUCACCCCAUUACCUGUCUGACG